UACGUAGGUGGCAAGCGUUGUCCGGAUUUACUGGGCGUAAAGGAUGCGUAGGUGGAAACUUAAGUGGGAUGUGAAAUCCCCGGGCUCAACCCGGGAACUGCAUUCCAAACUGGGUUACUUGAGUGCAGGAGAGGAAAGUGGAAUUUCUAGUGUAGCGGUGAAAUGCGUAGAUAUUAGGAGGAACACCAGUGGCGAAGGCGGCUUUCUGGACUGUAACUGACACUGAGGCAUGAAAGCGUGGGGAGCAAACAGGAUUAGAUACCCUGGUAGUCCCUGA
rnacentral:rRNA from 1 species